rnacentral:tRNA from 4 species
GCCUGGGUAGUAUAGCCAGGUUAGUAUACCGGCCUGUCGAGCCGGUGACCCGGGUUCAAAUCCCGGCCCAGGCG